AGACAACAAUGUAUCAGCCAGUGCGGAUACAUUGAUUUAUUAAUUUAUUCAACACUGCCGGCAGCCAAGGCAGUAGUGGUACAGGUACCGUAGAAUACCGUGGGAGCGCCCAGUUUCACACAAGUGCCCAAUAUAACCAUUUCCAAAACUUCAGAAUUCUGAAAGUUAUAUGUUAAGCACCCUCUCGCUCCAAAGAGCAAGCAUCAGCCGAAAUAGUCACUCCAUUACAGUCGCUACAAGACCACUAGGGGCGAUGACGAGGAUAUUCGUUUCCUUGCGGUGGGAAAGGAAAGACCGAUGGAGGUGAAAAUAAUGCAGAGUGACAAUGAACAGUCCUUGACAGAAAACACAGUGGUUGCAGGGCUUUUGCGAGACCUUUUUGAUAAAGCGUGCAUGUAGCCGGUGUUCCCAGACUUGUGCAAUCCGCUAGCCCCACGAGGCACUCCUACACCGUCGCCAGGAAGAUCGAAUUCGCCGAGUGGCACCACCUGUUGGGGAGGAAUGCGAGCUGCACCUCGGCAUUUUAAGAAACAGAAAAAGAACCAAGUGGGACACUAAGUACGACGUGCUUAGGCACCGCAACUAUGGCAAGCAGAAGAUGAAGCAUGAUCUUAUGGUCGCAUGAUCCUUUAAGAGUGCCUCCAGGACACCAAGACUACAACUUGGACUGGUCCAUGGGUUGGGGCUUGUCAUGGCCUGCGCGUGCCAGGGGUGUAAUACGAUUGGCUGCUCGCUAUCGCGGGGAGCCAACAUGGAAUGCCCACUCCCCCUGGCAUGAUCUGGCCUUGGCGGCACCAGUUCACGAAACACCCUGCUUCCAGCAUUGAUGAGCCCUUGGGUGCCCCUGGAGAACCUGCGCUGCCUGCUUCACGAUAAUCUCACAUGCUCUUCCGAGGCCUCCGUUUGCCAGUUGUAUGUGUCUCCAGGGGUACUACUUGUAAAAAAUUCAGUCUAUUGCUGCAAAAAACCACACCCUGUAACGAAAAAAGUGCUCCACGACUUCUUUAACGCCCGUCAGAAUCUUGCUUUUUUUGUACAAGUGCACUUGCCCUUCUCAUGACCAGUAAUAAAGGUGACCACAUUCUAUUUUCAUGUGAA